rnacentral:rRNA from 1 species
UACGUAGGGGGCUAGCGUUGUCCGGAAUUAUUGGGCGUAAAGAGCUCGUAGGCGGUCUGUCGCGUCUGCUGUGAAAACUCGGGGCUUAACCCCGGGCCUGCAGUGGGUACGGGCAGACUAGAGUGCGGUAGGGGAGACUGGAAUUCCUGGUGUAGCGGUGAAAUGCGCAGAUAUCAGGAAGAACACCCGUGGCGAAGGCGGCUCUCUGGGACGGUACUGACGCUGAGACGCGAAAGCGUGGGGAGCGAACAGG